rnacentral:piRNA from 1 species
UGGUUUUUUUCAAGAAAGGGUUUUUC